CCAAGCAUCUGUUGCCAGGAAACAGACACAUGUUUAAAGAGCCGUGGUUACAGACUGUGAGCUUUAUACAGCCUGUAUUGAAUGGACAUGGGUCACUUUUAUAAGGAGGGAUGAGAGAGGUGAAGAGGAUGACAGAGGUGCUGAGCAAAGGGAGUCUUCAGGGAACAAGAGGAGGCAUGGAACCCAGAGGUGACUGACCUUUGAUUCAGAAGGUGCUGCAGACACCUCUGCCUGCUCCUGAGGGCUCUUCUAACUCUACAUCAACUUGAGAACAUGCCUGAGCAAGCCUGCUGAAGGGAAAGAGAUACAUGGCACAGAGCUGAGAUUCUCCAACUGCCCAGUCAUGGCCAUCUCAAAUCAGCGAGCACCUGGCUGGCCCCAGACACCUGAGCAAGACAAGUCAAGACCAGAAGAGCCUCCCAGCUGACACCAACCAACUCUGGAUUCAUGAACAACAAACACAGAUAUAGUAGGGGUUGUGUAUUGUUAUACACAAUA